GAUGAACGCUAGCGGCAGGCCUAAUACAUGCAAGCCGAACGGCAAGUUUGAUAGCAAUAUUGGACCUAGAGUGGCGCAAGGGUGCGUAACACGUAUGCAACCUGCCCGCGACAGGAGGAUAGCUCCCCGAAAGGGGAAUUAACCCUCCAUAACACCAUGAGAAGGCAUCUGAUUAUGGUUAAACCGCAAGGGGUCGCGGAUGGGCAUGCGGUUGAUUAGCUAGUUGGCGGGGUAAAGGCCCACCAAGGCGGUGAUCAAUAGGGGUUCUGAGAGGAAGGUCCCCCACACUGGCACUGGGAUACGGGCCAGACUCCUACGGGAGGCAGCAGUAGGGAAUAUUGGACAAUGGUUGCAAGACUGAUCCAGCCAGGCCGCGUGCAGGAAGAAGGCCUUCUGGGUCGUAAACUGCUUUUUCCUGUGGAUAAAAUACCCGGGCGCGGGGAAUUGAAGGUAACAGGGGAAUAAGCCACGGCUAACUACGUG
rnacentral:rRNA from 1 species